rnacentral:snRNA from 1 species
GUGCUAUUGCUUCAGCAGCACUUAUACUAAAAGUGGAAUGAUACAGAUCAUGGCCCCUGCACAAGGAUGACACGCAAAUCAAAAAGAUUAGUAAUAAUAAA